GAAGGGCUGCAGCCCUAACACGGAGAAGCGCUCUAAGAGCCUGGAGGCGGGACCAAUUUAUGACUGACGUCUACCCACACCCAUUGUUUUUCUGAUUCCUUCUCAAACAAACCAAUGAAUGCGACGACGGAGACAGCAGCGUGCCCCAGGCGCUAGAAGUGGCUCUGCCCCUUCUACUUUGCUGCCCUUUGGUCGCCAUGCUUAGUGUGGCUACUGCCUCUGUGCUACUUGAGGCGGUCCUACGGCUUUUCGAUGCCUUCGAUGAACCUCUAUCUAAGCACUUCUUCCCUUUCACCGCCAACUCCCACCUCCUCGGGUUUCUAGCUCGCUCACUUUAUAUCCAGCCACACUGGAGAUGGCGGCCGGAGGCGGGCCCGAGGUGGGGCGUGACCAGCGCGGUGGCGUCAGCGCGCUGCGUGUCGGCAGGGAGUGGAGCAACUGCUGUAGUCCAAGCAGCUUAUUGUGCCCCUA
rnacentral:sRNA from 1 species